UACGUAGGUGGCAAGCGUUGUUCGGAUUUACUGGGCGUAAAGCGCACGUAGGCGGAUUGUUAAGUCAGGGGUGAAAUCCUGGAGCUCAACUCCAGAACUGCCUUUGAUACUGGCAAUCUAGAGUCCGGAAGAGGUGUGUGGAACUCCUAGCGUAGAGGUGGAAUUCGUAGAUAUUAGGAAGAACACCAGUGGCGAAGGCGGCUCACUGGUCCGGUACUGACGCUGAGGUGCGAAAGCGUGGGGAGCAAACAGG
rnacentral:rRNA from 1 species